AGCAGCCGCGGUAAUUCCAGCUCCAAUAGCGUAUAUUAAAGUUGUUGCAGUUAAAAAGCUCGUAGUUGAAUUUCGGGGUCAGUAGGUCGGUCGUGCCACUGGUAUGAACUGGUUUUACUGAUUCCUCCCUCUUGAAGAACUGUAAUGCCAUUAAUUUGGUGUUGCAGGGAAUCAGGACUGUUACUUUGAAAAAAUUAGAGUGUUUAAAGCAGGCUUUAGCUUGAAUACAUUAGCAUGGAAUAAUGAAAUAGGACGUUUGAUCCUAUUUUGUUGGUUUCUAGGAUUGACGUAAUGAUUAAUAGGGAUAGUUGGGGGCAUUAGUAUUCAAUUGUCAGAGGUGAAAUUCUUGGAUUUAUUGAAGACUAACUACUGCGAAAGCAUUUGCCAAGGAUGUUUUCAUUAAUCAAGAACGAAAGUUAGGGGAUCGAAGACGAUCAGAUACCGUCGUAGCCUUAACCAUAAACUAUGCCGACUAGGGAUCGGAUGAUGUUAAUUUUUAAUGUACUCAUUCGGCGCCUUA
rnacentral:rRNA from 1 species